UUAACUAUUAAACUAUUUUUGACGAAAAAGCCCGCUCUCUGCGAGUCAGAAAGAACGCCAAAAGCAAACUAGUCGCGUGUGCAACAGCAAAUCGAUGAAUGGUUAAUACAUUUUUAUGUCAGUACAUUUUUACGUACGUCGUUGCCUGUAAGUCACAGAGCACAAUAAUUAUUAACCGAGCUGGGCUUCUUGGAAUUAGCAAUCUAUAUUUUGUUGACUUUACGCAGUAAAUGACUUCUAAGAUUUAUAACGUAUGAAAAUGACUAGUUGACUGCAUCAGAUGACGGAGUGAGUGCGUACGGUCAAGCGAACUUUUAAAUAUCAAACAUACCGCAGUUGUUACUGGCGAUCAUGCCGGUAGCCUAUCGUUCGUACCACUAAAUUACACGAACAAGAUGAAUAAAUAUAACGAUGAACAUAGUAGUCACGAAAGACAGCAGAUAACAUUUAUUGGUACAUUUGAAUGCUCCCUAAAAUAGUUCGCUUAAGAAUUAAUAAUCGCUACUUUCACGUCCGCCAGCCGUGGUUGGUACACGCGCUUCUCACCUCGGCAAGCAUAGACACGAUACCACAGUGUAUAAACCAAGUGUAUCAUCCCAGGAUGUUGCGAUGUGAUUGCCAUGGCGAAAUGAAUAUUUGGCGUACGUGCGUUGCUUGAAAGUAAUAUGGCGGACGAGUCAAUAGAAGUUUGCGGCUUGGACGGUAGUUUUGCUACGGUAAAUUGCACGUCAACCCCUAUGAAAACUAUCUCUGCUGAAACACCACUGGACCUGAGUAAAAACAUGUCCCCCAUCAGCCAAGACAAGUGUCAGUGGUGAUUCCUGUUCACAUUUUGAAAUUCGUAUAGUUUAUGUUUCAUUACUUGGAAUAAUACUUGAAGAUUUUAA